rnacentral:rRNA from 1 species
GACGAACGCUGGCGGCGUGCCUAAUACAUGCAAGUAGAACGCUGAAGCUUGGUGCUUGCACCGAGCGGAUGAGCUGCGAACGGGUGAGUAACGCGUAGGUAACCUGCCUGGUAGCGGGGGAUAACUAUUGGAAACGAUAGCUAAUACCGCAUAAGAGUAGAUGUUGCAUGACAUUUGCUUAAAAGGUGCAAUUGCAUCACUACCAGAUGGACCUGCGUUGUAUUAGCUAGUUGGUGAGGUAACGGCUCACCAAGGCAACGAUACAUAGCCGACCUGAGAGGGUGAUCGGCCACACUGGGACUGAGACACGGCCCAGACUCCUACGGGAGGCAGCAGUAGGGAAUCUUCGGCAAUGGACGGAAGUCUGACCGAGCAACGCCGCGUGAGUGAAGAAGGUUUUCGGAUCGUAAAGCUCUGUUGUAAGAGAAGAACGAGUGUGAGAGUGGAAAGUUCACACUGUGACGGUAUCUUACCAGAAAGGGACGGCUAACUACGUG